UAGGGAAUCUUCGGCAAUGGGGGCAACCCUGACCGAGCAACGCCGCGUGAGUGAAGAAGGUUUUCGGAUCGUAAAGCUCUGUUGUAAGUCAAGAACGAGUGUGAGAGUGGAAAGUUCACACUGUGACGGUAGCUUACCAGAAAGGGACGGCUAACUACGUGCCAGCAGCCGCGGUAAUACGUAGGUCCCGAGCGUUGUCCGGAUUUAUUGGGCGUAAAGGGAACGCAGGCGGUCUUUUAAGUCUGAUGUGAAAGCCUUCGGCUUAACCGGAGUAGUGCAUUGGAAACUGGAAGACUUGAGUGCAGAAGAGGGUAGUGGAACUCCAUGUGUAGCGGUGGAAUGCGUAGAUAUAUGGAAGAACACCAGUGGCGAAGGCGGCUACCUGGUCUGCAACUGACGCUGAGACUCGAAGGCAUGGGUAGCGAACAGGAUUAGAUACCCUGGUAGUCCAUGCCGUAAACGAUGAGUGCUAGGUGUUGGAGGGUUUCCGCCCUUCAGUGCCGGAGCUAACGCAUUAAGCACUCCGCCUGGGGAGUACGACCGCAAGGUUG
rnacentral:rRNA from 1 species